GCCGCAGGCAACGACCCGAAGGGCGAAGCGCACUGCGCUGAGUAAUCCUUCCCCCACCACCA
rnacentral:sRNA from 1 species